AGAGUUUGAUCCUGGCUCAGGAUGAACGCUAGCGGCAGGCCUAAUACAUGCAAGUCGGACGGGAUCCGGGAGUAGCUCGCUACUUCCGGUGAGAGUGGCGCACGGGUGCGUAACGCGUGAGCAACCUGCCCAUAUCAGGGGGAUAGCCCGGAGAAAUCCGGAUUAACACCGCAUGACACGCCGGGACGGCAUCGUUCCGGCGUCAAAUAUUCAUAGGAUAUGGAUGGGCUCGCGUGACAUUAGCUAGUUGGUGGGGUAACGGCCACCAAGGCGACGAUG
rnacentral:rRNA from 1 species